rnacentral:rRNA from 1 species
UGGGGAAUCUUGGACAAUGGGGGCAACCCUGAUCCAGCCAUGCCGCGUGAGUGAUGAAGGCCUUAGGGUCGUAAAGCUCUUUCGCUAGGGAAGAUAAUGACGGUAGCAGGUAAAGAAACCCCGGCUAACUCCGUGCCAGCAGCCGCGGUAAUACGGAGGGGGUUAGCGUUGUUCGGAAUUACUGGGCGUAAAGCGCACGUAGGCGGACCAGAAAGUUGGGGGUGAAAUCCCGGGGGCUCAACCCCGGAACUGCCUCCAAAACUAUUGGUCUAGAGUUCGAGAGAGGUGAGUGGAAUUCCAAGUGUAGAGGUGAAAUUCGUAGAUAUGUGGAGGAAUACCGGUGGCGAAGGCGGCCUCCUGGCUCGAUACUGACGCUGAGGCGCGAAAGCGUGGGGAGCAAACAGGAUUAGAUACCCUGGUAGUCCACGCCGU